GACGAACGCUGGCGGCAGGCCUAACACAUGCAAGUCGAACGAACUCUUCGGAGUUAGUGGCGGACGGGUGAGUAACACGUGGGAACGUGCCUUUAGGUUCGGAAUAACUCAGGGAAACUUGUGCUAAUACCGAAUGUGCCCUUCGGGGGAAAGAUUUAUCGCCUUUAGAGCGGCCCGCGUCUGAUUAGCUUGUUGGUGGGGUAAUGGCCCACCAAGGCGACGAUCAGUAGCUGGUCUGAGAGGAUGACCAGCCACAUUGGGACUGAGACACGGCCCAAACUCCUACGGGAGGCAGCAGUGGGGAAUCUUGCGCAAUGGGCGAAAGCCUGACGCAGCCAUGCCGCGUGGAUGAUGAAGGUCUUAGGAUUGUAAAAUCCUUUCACCGGUGAAGAUAAUGACUGUAGCCGGAGAAGAAGCCCCGGCUAACUUCGUGCCAGCCGCCGCCGUAAAAC
rnacentral:rRNA from 1 species